CAUUGUUACAGUUGCUUAGUAACAGGAUUGUGAAUAAAAAAUCUUGCUCUCCUGCAGAACCAGAAAUACACAUGGCUUGAUAAAAGCCAUUAUGAAAUUACUACAAAUGCAAGCUCUUAAGGAAGGACAAGGUGGGGAAAAGAAUAUUCAGAGUGUAUAUACCAUUAGAAAUCAUCCUCAUCCUUUGAUCACUGUGCUUGAACACAGACCUGAUUGUUGGCCAGUGUUUUUGCAGCAGCUGACAGCAUUUUUCCAGCAGUGCCCUGAAAGGUCAGAAGUUUCAUGCAUUCAAAUAAUGGCACCAUUUCUGUGGUAUCUGUAUUGUGAACCAUCUCAGUUACAAGAAUAUGCUAAACUCCGACUAGCCCUGCUGAAAGUCUUACUUCAACCCCAGGUUCUUUGUGACAAGGAUCAACCAUCAAUACUGCAACAGCAGAUACUUCAACUGUGUUGUGACAUAGUUCCAUGUUUGCAGAUAAAAGAUUUGAUACAGACAACAGAAGCGAUGAUGUUUAUUGAGGAAAUAUAUUUAAGCCUUUUGCGUCAUCCUGUUUUC
rnacentral:sRNA from 1 species